AUACGUAGGGGGCGAGCGUUGUCCGGAAUGAUUGGGCGUAAAGGGCGCGUAGGCGGCGCGGUAAGUCUGGAGUGAAAGUCCUGCUUUCAAGGUGGGAAUUGCUUUGGAUACUGCCGCGCUUGAGUGCAGGAGAGGUUAUCGGAAUUCCCGGUGUAGCGGUGAAAUGCGUAGAGAUCGGGAGGAACACCAGUGGCGAAGGCGGGUAACUGGACUGCAACUGACGCUGAGGCGCGAGAGUGUGGGGAGCAAACAGGAUUAGAUACCCUGGUAGUCCACACUGUAAACGAUGAAUGCUAGGUGUAAGAGGUAUCGACCCCUUUUGUGCCGGAGUCAACACAAUAAGCAUUCCGCCUGGGGAGUACGGCCGCAAGGUUGAAACUCAAAUGAAUUGACGGGG
rnacentral:rRNA from 1 species